GACGAACGCUGGCGGCGUGCUUAACACAUGCAAGUCGAACGGAAAGGCCCUGCUUUUGUGGGGUGCUCGAGUGGCGAACGGGUGAGUAACACGUGAGUAACCUGCCCUUGACUUUGGGAUAACUUCAGGAAACUGGGGCUAAUACCGGAUAGGAGCUCCUGCUGCAUGGUGGGGGUUGGAAAGUUUCGGCGGUUGGGGAUGGACUCGCGGCUUAUCAGCUUGUUGGUGGGGUAGUGGCUUACCAAGGCUUUGACGGGUAGCCGGCCUGAGAGGGUGACCGGCCACAUUGGGACUGAGAUACGGCCCAGACUCCUACGGGAGGCAGCAGUGGGGAAUAUUGCACAAUGGGCGGAAGCCUGAUGCAGCAACGCCGCGUGCGGGAUGACGGCCUUCGGGUUGUAAACCGCUUUCGCCUGUGACGAAGCGUGAGUGACGGUAAUGGGUAAAGAAGCACCGGCUAACUACGUGCCAGCAGCCGCGGUGAUACGUAGGGUGCGAGCGUUGUCCGGAUUUAUUGGGCGUAAAGGGCUCGUAGGUGGUUGAUCGCGUCGGAAGUGUAAUCUUGGGGCUUAACCCUGAGCGUGCUUUCGAUACGGGUUGACUUGAGGAAGGUAGGGGAGAAUGGAAUUCCUGGUGGAGCGGUGGAAUGCGCAGAUAUCAGGAGGAACACCAGUGGCGAAGGCGGUUCUCUGGGCCUUUCCUGACGCUGAGGAGCGAAAGCGUGGGGAGCGAACAGGCUUAGAUACCCUGGUAGUCCACGCUGUAAACGGUGGGUACUAGGUGUGGGGUCCAUUCCACGGGUUCCGUGCCGUAGCUAACGCUUUAAGUACCCCGCCUGGGGAGUACGGCCGCAAGGCUAAAACUCAAAGGAAUUGACGGGGCCCCGCACAAGCGGCGGAGCAUGCGGAUUAAUUCGAUGCAACGCGUAGAACCUUACCUGGGUUUGACAUGGAUCGGGAGUGCUCAGAGAUGGGUGUGCCUCUUUUGGGGUCGGUUCACAGGUGGUGCAUGGCUGUCGUCAGCUCGUGUCGUGAGAUGUUGGGUUAAGUCCCGCAACGAGCGCAACCCUUGUUCACUGUUGCCAGCACGUUAUGGUGGGGACUCAGUGGAGACCGCCGGGGUCAACUCGGAGGAAGGUGGGGAUGACGUCAAGUCAUCAUGCCCUUUAUGUCCAGGGCUUCACGCAUGCUACAAUGGCUGGUACAGAGAGUGGCGAGCCUGUGAGGGUGAGCGAAUCUCGGAAAGCCGGUCUCAGUUCGGAUUGGGGUCUGCAACUCGACCUCAUGAAGUCGGAGUCGCUAGUAAUCGCAGAUCAGCAACGCUGCGGUGAAUACGUUCCCGGG
rnacentral:rRNA from 1 species